GCAAAAACGACGAUUUCGACUUUUCCAAGGCAACCAGAGAAAGGAUUCUCAGCCUGGAGCAGAGCGAAUGCAAGGGGAACUGGUGCCGACGACGGGGCGAGGUCCAAUACAUAUCUCUCUUGCAACUAUCGCGAGCUACCACAUGAUCUUGCAGCCGGCAUGGAGGCUUGGGAAUGACCACGACAACAAGUUAACGAUAAGUUCAUUAAAAACAACUAGCACAUUAUCCGUAAGAUAGUUUUUCCCUUUGCAGCUUCCAAUCACUUUAUGUGCGACGGCGCCUCAAGCUCCUAGACAUUGUCCAGGAGUAUAAACGAUCCAGAGUGCAGGCCGGCCACAUUUUGACAGCGCCGGGUACGCACCAAGUGAGUACGCGUUGCAAAUCUGAAGCUUUCCAUAUCUGAAUGUGGAACGGCACAUUUUAACGGUCCAGUUGACAAAGUCGAAGAUGCAAGCAUUGCCAGGAUCAAGCCGCUUAUUAUGAACCUGAAGGGAAGCCUGGAGCCGACAGUCAACUAUAUUCGUGGUCUUGCUGCUGUCGGACCGGCAUGGAACUGCGGCGGCUGCAGACGAGAGUGCUGCGGCUAAUAACAAUGUAGAAACCGCGACGACGAUGCCAGAAAAUAACUAUGUAGGGCCGACAAUGUCAACAACACAAGUUCAUCACGGAAUGUUUCACUGUUGCCUGUCAUUGGAGGGAAUGCUUUGAAUGGAAGGAAAUUUAUCUGAAAUUCUUGGGACUACUGCUUUGAGACGGAGAAGACUGGAAGCUUCAACAAACAAACAGAGUUGAGUGCCGACGAUUCUGCUGGCCUAGGGUCCGGAGAAGAUCUAUCUGGACAUCUACGAAGACAAGCUAAGCUUUCCGCUGAAUAUUAUCCUGCUACGCUUGAUGAUCUGAUGCUGAAGCUACCACCAUUGCAGUCAGAAAGAGGUGUUCUCAAUCUCGGGUGAACGAGAUACAGCAGAUUCCGGUACGCCAAUUAAUGUGAAUCAACGCUCUAUCGCCUUACGUUGAUGGCCCAACCCAAAGAGGCUCCUCAGCUGUCGUCCUUCCCAUCAGAAAGCCAUCGGGACCUAUGUCGCUUGAUGCCCAUAAAACAC
rnacentral:sRNA from 1 species